rnacentral:rRNA from 1 species
GAGGAACUGGAGGCCGUUGGACUGGGAGUAGCGCUCCAUGAAGCGCAUGAAGCGGUCCCAGUCCCUCGGGGUGCGCAUCACGUACUUGGCCUCCACGGCCGCCGGCUUGCCGUUGACGAACUUGGCGCUGACGUCCACGGAGCUCAGCGUGCCCUCCUCGUCGACCAUGUAGAACCCCGUGAUGUCGCCCAGCUCCGCCGACGAGUCGAACACCGACGGCUGCUCGAAGGUGAAGAUGGCCACCCCGUUGCUGCCGUCCCGGGACUUGGUCAGCCGCACGUCCGGGAUCGUCUGCUCGUCCGUGCCCUGGAUGAACUGGAUCGACGGCCGCGAAGUCAUCGCCAUCGCCACCACCGACGAUGA